CAGGUACACUAGCAACUACUCUUUUUGUCAUCUAUUAUGAUUUAGUUGAGACUGAGGUCAACAUAUAUGCUGGAAAAGGACAACUUUGCAUGUAUUAACUUCUGGACUAUUGUAAUGUGCGUCAUCAGCCAGAGAAGGCGGGGAUCCGUGGAUGCCAGUGAGGGAAGCAGCUUGGCUCGGGCCGACCAUGGCGCUAGCGUUGCAACUCGCCGCCAUCCUCCUUCGUCUCCCAUCCACAGCUGGCUCCAACCCCUCCUCUGAUGUGGUGCUAUGAGAGCAAGAAAAAGAGCAGACAUGCUCUGUAUCUACAUCCAGCGUCCACACAGCCAGAUAAUGGAUGUAAUUGUGUGCAUGGAGCUCGCUGAUCUGUGGUUCUUGUGCAACAAAGACCCUUCAGUUAGGUUAUAAAAUCCUUAAUUAUUGGAGCCAUUCAUAUGCAUGUAUCAUGCAUGUAUCAACGAAUGAAGGAAGAAGAUUUUCUUGUAUUACUUUAUGACUUUUUGUCUUUGAUCAUUGAAUGGCACACGCAUAUGCUGAUGUAUAAUGCUUGUUCUGGUAUAUAUUUGUUCUUUGGACACA